rnacentral:rRNA from 1 species
CGUGUAGGUGGUUGGGUCAGUCUGCCGUGAAAGCUCUCGGCUUAACCGGGAGAGGUCGGUGGAAACUGCUCGACUAGAGGACGGUAGAGGGGGUGGAAUUCCCGGUGUAGUGGUGAAAUGCGUAGAUAUCGGGAGGAACACCAGUGGCGAAGGCGGCCCCCUGGGCCGCUCCUGACGCUGAGACGCGAAGGCCAGGGUAGCGAACG